rnacentral:rRNA from 1 species
CGGGACGGGUGAGUAAUGUCUAGGGAAACUGCCGAUGGAGGGGGAUAACUACUGGAAACGGUAGCUAAUACCGCAUAACGUCGCAAGACCAAAGAGGGGGACCUUCGGGCCUCUUGCCAUCGGAUGUGCCCAGAUGGGAUUAGCUAGUAGGUGGGGUAACGGCUCACCUAGGCGACGAUCCCUAGCUGGUCUGAGAGGAUGACCAGCCACACUGGAACUGAGACACGGUCCAG